GCGCUGCUCGGGGUCGGAGCUUCUCGCGUUUGAUAACUUUCGGUGUGUGCCGGCCGUCCGUGCUCUGCUGCCGCUUCCAGGUAUGUCCGCACGGAGCCCUGUGACCCCAGGCGUGGCGGAUUUCUCCCUGCUGAGCCGCCCGUCUCUGCUCUCGGCCAUGGGCUGGGACAGGCAGUGCGGGCAUCCCCGGGUCCCUUCCUGCCCUUGGCGCUGUGCUGCUCAGGGCACCGUGCAGUUGGGUGUCUGCUUCUUUCCCCGCUUAGUUCCGUGCUGCGGAGUGACAGCGGGCUGGGUCAUUUGUUCGUGCGCUUCUGGAAGCAGCUUCUCUUUCCUUCUGGAAAGCUGAGCCACACUGACAAAGGGUGAGAGCAAAAAGCAGUCGGAGGAAACCGCUGGGCUGGGAAAUGGAUGGAUGCCUCAGAGAGAAGCCUGGAUUGGGGUAAUCAGCAGGUGCGUUGCAGACAGCACUGGCAGGAAGAUGCUGGCUUGAGGUCUGUUUGUGAUGGGAUCAGUGUGCUGGUGGGGCUGCGUGUCAGCUUUGGGCUGUAUGGAUGUAACCAGGGAGCAGAGCUGAUGCUGGAUGCUCCUCAGAGCCCUGGCCGCAGUUGGUGCUGCCGUUGUUUUUAACGAAGGGGUAAUUCUUUUGGUUUGUAAUCUCACAGAGAUAGCAUGAAAUUAAAAGCUUUGUAGGCAGCUGUAUGGAGUAGUGCUGAAUGGUGUUGAGUCCCCAAGGAAAUGAAGCUGGUGGGUUGCAGGGAGCAAUGCUGAGCACGUGCUUCACAUCCCCAGAGCCACGUGCUGUGUGGAAGCAAGCUCUGCAGGGGGCUGUUCCAGUACCCGAUAAAGGUGAUGUGAGCUUUUGUGGCUGUCUUUAAUUCUACCAGUUGUACAGAGCUUGACUUGAUAACCUCCGUAAGAUCCUCUUAGUGCUGUUUUGCUAUGGCAGUUUUAGGAAAGCCUGGCAAUGCAGCUGAGUUCUAAAUUUGCAUCCUGUUUUCUAUUAUAAAACCCUGCCUUUAUUGCUUCCAGCACUGCCAAACUGCAGUGUUUUGGGGCUGGGAUUUCCCUGCUUUGUUGCUGCUGCCUACUGUUUAAAAUUAGCUUUGUUCUUUGCAGUGGCAGCUGGGAGGCCUGGUGUGUUUCUCUUCCCCUUCCUCCCCUGAAGCCUCGAUACUCCAGAUUUUAGUAAAAUCCCAAAUCAAAGCAAUUUAGGGCCAGAGUAAUGGGGAGGGUUUGUGGCUGGGGCUCUUGGCAGCUGUUGUGUAUUGCUGCAUAGGAACUCAGUGGCCCUGCAUUAGCUGGGCUUCGGUGUUCAAGUAGGUCUGCUUUUCAUUUUUUAAGUAGUU
rnacentral:lncRNA from 1 species